GAGGGUACGGCUAAACGGUAGAGUGUGUGCUUGGCACGCACAAGGUCCUGGGUUCAAUCCCCACUACCUCCA
rnacentral:tRNA from 1 species